GCAAGUCUGGUGCCAGCAGCCGCGGUAAUUCCAGCUCCAAUAGCGUAUAUUAAAGUUGUUGCAGUUAAAAAGCUCGUAGUUGAAUUUCGGGAUCAAUAUUUCGGUCAUGCCGUUGGUAUGCACUGUUAUCAUUGACUUCUCACCUUCUAAAGAACCAUAAUGCCAUUAAUUUGGUGUUACGGGGAAUUAGGACUGUUACCUUGAAAAAAUUAGAGUGUUUAAAGCAGGCUCACGCUUGAAUACAUUAGCAUGGAAUAAUGAAAUAGGACAUCCGAUUCUAUUUUGUUGGUUUCUAGGAUCGAUGUAAUGAUUAAUAGGGAUAGUUGGGGGCAUUAGUAUUCAAUUGUCAGAGGUGAAAUUCUUGGAUUUAUUGAAGACUAACUACUGCGAAAGCAUUUGCCAAGGAUGUUUUCAUUAAUCAAGAACGAAAGUUAGGGGAUCGAAGACGAUCAGAUACCGUCGUAGUCUUAACCAUAAACUAUGCCGACUAGGGAUCGGAUGAUGUUAAUUUUUUAAUGACUCAUUCGGCGCCUUACGGGAAAC
rnacentral:rRNA from 1 species